UACAGAGGUCCCAAGCGUUGUUCGGAUUCAUUGGGCGUAAAGCGUGCGUAGGCGGUUCAUUAAGUCGGAUGUGAAAGCCCUGGGCUCAACCUAGGAAUUGCAUUCGAUACUGAUGGACUAGAGAUCGGUAGAGGGCGGCGGAAUUCCGGGUGUAGCAGUGAAAUGCGUAGAUAUCCGGAGGAACACCGAUGGCGAAGGCAACCGCCUGGGCCUGAUCUGACGCUGAGGCACGAAAGCGUGGGGAGCAAACAGG
rnacentral:rRNA from 1 species